rnacentral:rRNA from 1 species
CAAGUCGAGCGGAUGAAGGGAGCUUGCUUCCGGAUUCAGCGGCGGACGGGUGAGUAAUGCCUAGGAAUCUGCCUGGUAGUGGGGGACAACGUUCCGAAAGGAGCGCUAAUACCGCAUACGUCCUACGGGAGAAAGUGGGGGAUCUUCGGACCUCACGCUAUCAGAUGAGCCUAGGUCGGAUUAGCUAGUAGGUGGGGUAAUGGCUCACCUAGGCGACGAUCCGUAACUGGUCUGAGAGGAUGAUCAGUCACACUGGAACUGAGACACGGUCCAGACUCCUACGGGAGGCAGCAGUGGGGAAUAUUGGACAAUGGGCGAAAGCCUGAUCCAGCCAUGCCGCGUGUGUGAAGAAGGUCUUCGGAUUGUAAAGCACUUUAAGUUGGGAGGAAGGGCAGUAAGUUAAUACCUUGCUGUUUUGACGUUACCAACAGAAUAAGCACCGGCUAACUUCGUGCCAGCAGCCGCGGUAAUACGAAGGGUGCAAGCGUUAAUCGGAAUUACUGGGCGUAAAGCGCGCGUAGGUGGUUUGGUAAGAUGGAUGUGAAAUCCCCGGGCUCAACCUGGGAACUGCAUCCAUAACUGCCUGACUAGAGUACGGUAGAGGGUGGUGGAAUUUCCUGUGUAGCGGUGAAAUGCGUAGAUAUAGGAAGGAACACCAGUGGCGAAGGCGACCACCUGGACUGAUACUGACACUGAGGUGCGAAAGCGUGGGGAGCAAACAGGAUUAGAUACCCUGGUAGUCCACGCCGUAAACGAUGUCGACUAGCCGUUGGGAUCCUUGAGAUCUUAGUGGCGCAGCUAACGCGAUAAGUCGACCGCCUGGGGAGUACGGCCGCAAGGUUAAAACUCA